AUUUUUAGCUCAUCAGCUAUCAUUAGUGUUAGUGUAUUUUAUGUGUGGUCCAAGACAAUUUUUCUUCUUCCAGCGUGGCCCAGGGAAGACAAAAGAUGAGACACCCCUGCUUUGAAACAACCUCAUGAGGUGUGAGGUCCAGACAGGGGACUUCAUCUCUCUGAGCUGCCAUCUUCUCUCUAUAAAGUUAAGUCAACCAUAGAAUGCCCCUCCCAGAGGUGUGGGGAGGAUUCGAUGAGACAAUCCACAGGGCUGGCUAUCACGACUUCAUCCCCCUUUAUUUUAUGUGACACCUCUCUAAGCCUCAGUUUCCCCAUCUGUUAAAUGUGGUGGACGACCUCUACUCUGCCUCCCCCCCAGGGCUGGCAUGAGUUUCCACAGGGAGGAGGCUGAGAGGCCCCCUUUGUGGGAGUGGCAGCAUUUGGUUACUGCAGUUCAUGUUUCCAGCAGGAGCCUCAAAGUGUCUAAACACAGACUAUUUUUAGCACCAGAAUGAGGCUCUGGUGUUGAGCUGCCAACUUGAAGAUGGGUGGGGAAGAGCUGCCUGCAGGGGAAAGAAAAACAGAGGCAUAGCCUGCCCUGUGGUUCCUUACCUCCCCUGGGAGUAAAAUUAUGCCUCCCCCUUCCAGGUUCUAUUGGCUAGGGUAGGCCAGAAUGGAAGCCUGUGAGGCUGGGUAGGGGGCUGACUCCCUCUCUGUAAUCCCCAGCACCUGACUUGGGGGGCAGAGGCAGUUCGGAGGGACUGGGCAGGCCCAGCGACCAACUGACCCCCAGACCACCCAAGCUUCACCGAGAAAUAGCUAUUGAGAAAUCAGGUUCAUGAAGGUUUGAUUUCUUAAGAGUUCUGGGUAGGAGACCCAUCUGGGAAGUUUCCAAGAAACUGGGGAGCCCAGGUAAAAUUUCAGUCUUGUUCUAAUAAUAAAAAUAUCAGAAGUCACUGGUGUUUGUUGAGCGCAUACUAUAUGCCAGUCAUCUUAUUCCCAUUGUGCCUUUUAAUCCCCACUAUCAUUCUUUGAGGUGGUCAUUAACUUCUUUGAACAUCAGUUUCCCCAUCUAUAGAGUGAUGAUGUAAUAUAAUUUAUCUCUUAGGGUUAGCGUGAGAACUAAAUAAGUCAAUAUAUACAAAUAUAUCAUAUCUAUAUGUAUUAGGUGCAAAUGCUACAUCUUAUAAUAAUUUCUGGAGAAUACAUGUGGUUUUGCCUGUUCAGUGCCCCUUCAUUCUGAUACAAGGACUCUAUUUUCCUUCACGGAAUUUCUCCCUCAUUAAUUCUCAGCUCAUGUGGCUUGGAUAGAAUGGAUUCCUCUUGCCAGUUGCUGCAGACAUUCCUAUACCUCCCUCCUGAUGCAUGUAUAUAAUAAUUAAUGUAGAGUGCAUGUAUACCUAGGAGUGAAAGCGCUAGUUUUUGUCUGUUUGUUUUUGUUUUUGUAUGAGCAUCUUAUGAUUAUCCUAAAAGAUGCCAGUUUUUUUCCAAGGUUGCUGUAGUCACAACUUCCCCAGUACAGUUUGAGCAUUCCUGCUGCUCCAAAUCCACACCAACACUUAAUGUUGUCAGUCCUUUCCUUUUUGGUCAGUUUGGUAGAUCUGUAACAGAUGCCAUAUGUGCCCCACCCACAGAGUUAAAUUCUGAAUGUUCAUCUGGUUGUCUGAGGGGUUUCUCCAGCACCUUGAAUGCUUUUUGUGCUUGUGUGGUUGGCAGGCAAGACAUGCUAGAAUAUUAACAUUUGGAAGCAGCUGCAAAUAUGACUGAUGGGAGUUGGUGUAUAAAUGCCCCAGCUCCCUUGCUCCUCAGCUGGAAUAACUCUGCAGUGUGUAUUUCUCCAGUGGGACUUAGCCUCAACCACCCUCUGUAACAGAUGACUCAAUAAUACACCCUUUAUUGAUUUCUUCCCUUCCCUGUCUCACUUCCCCGCUCAGGGAAGGACAGGAGUAAGUAUACUCUUUAUUUCCUAAAUGAACUACUUAUCAGUGGUAUUCAUUUCUUGGAAUAGUUGAUUCCUUAGAAUAGGAAUCAAUAUGGUUGAUUCAUAUCAUAUCAAUGGUUUUUCAACCUUUUCCUUAUCAUAGACAUGUAAAAUAUUUCCAGUCUUCCCUCUUUUAUAAAUAAGUAACGCUAUGAUAAACAUCCUGUAUGUAAAUCUUUAUACAGAUCCCCGGAAAGCAAUAUAGGACCUUUCAACAAUGAUGAGACAUCGGCAUAUUAUACCCACUUUACAGAUGAGAAAGCUAAAGUUCACAGAGAUUAAGUAACUUGCCCAGACACACAAAAAGUGGAGCAUGAAUUCAAGUGCAAAACUGAGCCUCAGUGUCAUGAUGCCAUGGCGGACACUAUGCAGACCAGCAAGGCAGCUAUUCCCUGUCUUAACCACUAAUCCCUCAGUUGAAUCCAAGCCUUGAUGAAAGGAACCUUUCUGAGCCUGAAGAUAUGGAUGGCCAUGCCUCGAACACUUCUCAGGUAGAUAACCCCCAAUUCCUUUAAUCAAAGUUCUUUCUCACCCUUCUUGGUGGUGGACCAGCCAUUUGGCAAGUGAAAGACUUAAUGAAACAGCUUGAGAAGAAAUGCCAUUAUAAAUGCCAAAUCCUUUCCCUCAUUGUCUUAGGAAUCCAGAAUUUUAGUAACCCAGCUAACCCUAGGGAAGGCUUUUGCACCCCGUACAGUGGGUGGACCCUCUCUGGGACACACCCUUCCAUUCAUUGGUGUGCUGUAGUUUAAUGAUUCCAUCGUGCUCAUGAUGGAUAUAUUGUGGUUCUGCAGAUCUUUGAUGCAACAAUUCUGCAGAAUCUUUGACACAACAAUCCCACUUUUUUGACCAGGAAGCAUGUACACACCAGGAAAGCUUCACCAGGUUCCUAGGCACACCCGUAUGUUGCCCCCUACACUUGCUCACCCCACCUCCAGAAAGAAUCCCCUGGGUCCCCACACUUCCCUCUGUUCCCAGGAAGGAAACUCACUCAGCACUACCCUACGCUCACAGCCUGCCAACCAUGUCCAUUUUCAUUUAUCUUCCCCAAAACUCAAGAAAAUAAAUGAGAAGGCAAAGUGCCAUUAGCUUAAUGGCCUUUAACACCCAGCCAUCUGCCAUGAUGUAAUUAAAUAAAAAAAUCAGAGGGAGCAUAUGGUGUCCGUUAUAAAUAAAUAUUAAAAUUUUGUUUAUCUGGGUAAUGACUCUAGUGCCUCUUGCUCCAUGGGCAAUCUUUACAGCCAUCUUCGCUUGUUGCAGGGUCAGGGUGGGCCACUAUGGACAGGAAUGGCCACGGAGAGGAAACGUGGAAAGGGGUCAGGGCCAGAGUCACACACUCCUGCAUCUGAACCUGCCUCAGGGCGGUGGUGGCUGUGUGAUCUUCAGCAAGGGGCCUCUCUGUGACUCAGUUUUCUCACCUGCAAAAUAGAGCCAAUCCACCCUGCCUCAUUGGAAAGCAAGUGACAGAGCUACAAGAAAGCCUGGAGAUCCAACACCUAGCGAAACAGCCUUCCUUUACAUAAGGGGAAACUGAGGCUUGGAGAAACUUGAAUGAAAUAACCUCUGUCCAUAUAAAAUGUCUCGCAUAGACCUGGACCCAAGUUCAAAUUCUCUUCCCCUGUCCCGGAGAACCUUGUGCCCUUGGAGGGGUUGCCAGCACCUACUGCCAGCUCUGAGCAGGACUGAGAGGUGGGCUCACAGCCAUCAAAGCAGGAGGGAGGACUGUUCAUAACCUCCAGGUCAGCUUCCUCACAGACAUAUGGGGUAACUGAGGCCUAAAGGGGAGGUGGAGGGUGACUCUACCCAGACCCAGUUUUCCUGCAUCCCAGCCUUCAGCCUUGGCACCCUCCUGAGAAAGAAGAAAAAUGGAUAAACACCUUUUGUUGCACAAUUACUAUGUGCCAGGCCCUUCCAUGUACCCUGUGCCAUUGCCUCUCCCCAGGGGCUCUGCUUGGUAGGUUGGGUUUAAUCUCACUUUACAGAUGAGACAACCAAGGCCUGGAGAGGUCAGUCAACUUGCCAAAGGGCAGAGCUGGUGAGUGGCAGAACAAGACUCAACCCAGGCCUGUCUGACUCCAGACCCUUAAUCCUAACCUCUAUGUGACAUUGUUUUCUGUGGAAGUGCCACCCUCUGACCUCUGACCUCGGGGCCUCCUCUCUGUGGGGCAAGUGGAGUGAUUUGGAGGCUUUCUGUACAAGACAGCCUUUCUCCUCUGAAUGCUCAGAGCCCGCUCAGAAGGCACAGGGGUUCCCAAGCCUUUAGUGGCCCAAGGAGUUCUGCUGGCAUCCAACAGAGAGAUGUCCCUUCAUAUGCAAGCAACAAGUGCCAGAAACUGACUGACCAUUCUAUCCAUGAAGACAUCACUUGGACACCAUCGUACCACAGAGAAGGUGCCAGGAGGCCACACAGAGGUGCAGAGAUUCAUGCAUGCUGAACAUGUGCACAGCCCCAUGGCUGUCAUCCCCCUCACCCCCAGCACAUACACAGAGUUAACCAGCCCUAUCAGGCCAUACCCAUUUAUAACACAUGGCAGGAAUCCUUAUUCCCACUUCAUGAGUGAGAAACAGCAGACACCAUGGGACCUGCCUGAGAUACAUGGUUAGUCUUGGAGCUAAAACUAGAAACUGGAUCUUCUCAUUUUGACCAAAGGUGGUUUCUUCAUCCCCUGGAAUUGUCAAAAGAAUAAAGAAGCACCUGUCUUGAAAAGUCACGACCAGAGUUUCUCAUCAUCAGUGACACUGGCACUUUGGACUGGAUAAUUUGUUGAGGAGAGCUGUUCUGUGCAUUGUAGGGUGGUUGAUAGCAUCCCUGGCCUGCACCUAAUGGAAGAGAGAACCAGAACACUGCCUGUGGACCCAUCUGAAUCCAGGCUUACAAAGUUUUGGUGCCAGAUUCUAGAGCUCCUUUCUAAGAUUUUUAUCCUAGCUCUCCAUCAUAAGAUCCUAUUGUGAGGUUCCACGCUAGGAUCCCCAACUUCUAGCACUCUAUGCUGGGAUACUAGGGUCCGUUCUGUGCAAGGAAAAAAAAAAACUAUAUUAAAAGGAGGAAAAAGUUAUGCUGGAAGCUAAGUCAGGCAAGAAACUGCCUCUCCUUUUGUUCUUAAGCAGAUAGCUACAGAUAAAAGGUGAAAUAUCUCCACAGGUAGCUACUUGAUGUUCACCUUAUCUUAUGUAAAGUGCUGAUUUACUGAGAGGGAAACAAAUAACGUAAUUGACUACUCCUCUACCUGCUCCUUUUCUCUUGCAACCUGUGGGUUUAGUAACGUGACCAUACCUUCUUUCCCCUCCAGCUUGCUUUUCUCCUUUAAAUACUGAAGCCCUCAAAGUCAUCUCUGGAGAAAUGCACAGACCUCUCUCCUGGGCAUAUCCUUAACCUUGGCAAAAUGAACUUCUAAACUGAUUGAGACCUGUCUCAGAUAGUUUUUGGUUUAGUUUCAAUGUUGGUGGGCUCUCCAAUUGUGAAAUUUUUUUCUAAGCUCCUAAGAUCUCAUCUCCCAUGUCAAAGUUGAAAUUCUCUCCGGGAGACAGUCAUGCCUCGCUGCCUUCCAGUGACCAGGAUGAAAGAUGCACCCAUGAAUUAUAUAUUUCAAGUCAUCUCUAAAUUGCCUGGCAAUUACAGAACAGCAAGGUCAGCUGCCGGGAGCAAGAAUCUCCCUUUUGGCAGAGAAAAACAGAUGGAUGGAAACACAACGAUAUACAGAAAGAUGUUACCUCUUGGAGGGGGGGUGUUUUUCAGAUGCUGGUCACCAUAGAUGCUGGUCACCACCAUGCCCUUUCAUAAGUGUCCUUACAAAAGGAGGAAAUCAGGACAGAUACAUCCAGAGGGAAGACGCUAUGAAGACACAGAGAAGAGGGCCAUCUAUGCCAAGGAGAGGGGUAGGAAGCAAAUUCUUCCCACACACACCUCGGAGGAACCAACCCUGCUGACACCUUAAUUUUGGACUUCCAGCUUCCAGAACUGUGAGAUAAUAAAUUUUAGUUGUUUAAGCUACUCAGCAUGUGGUGUUUUGUUACAGCAACCCUAGCAAACUGAUACACCAGUGCUCUGCAUAGGACCUCAACAUUUCCUUUUCCUUUUUUUUUAAUGAGAGAGAAUUCAUAUGUGGCAUGGUAAAAACAAGUGCGCAGGAAUUUCACAUAUGUACACACCCAGGUGACCCACCCAGAUCAAGACUCUGAACAUUCCCCUGGCUCCUAGAGGCUCUCCACUGUCCCCUCUCAGCGAAUCACCCUCCCCAGGGGCCAUCACUUUUCUAACUUCUAUCACCAUAGGUUAGCUUUGUACAUUCUUGAGCCUCUUAUUAUUAUUUUAGAAAUGGGGCCUCACUAUUUGCCCAGGCUGGUCUUGAACUCCUGAGCUCAAGUGUGAUCCUCCCAUCCCAGCAUCCCAAAGUGCUGAGAUUACAGGUGUGAGCCACCACGCCCAGCUGUUGAGCCUCAUAAAUGGCUGAACAAUGUUGAACAAAGGAAGCUGGCCCCUUACAUUUAAACUCAUUUGUGCCAUAUAAAAACCCCUUGAGACAGGCACUAUAAUUAUCUUCAUUUUACAGGUGUAGAAUCAGAGGCCCAGAGAGCUUCAGUAACUUGUUCAAGGUCACACAGCUAGGGUGUAGGAGGCAGAGCCAGGAUUUGACUGGGUAAGUCUGGCUGCACUCACUAUACUUACUGCUUUUAAAUACACAGCAAGUGCCCAGUAACUAUAAUCACGGCGACUUCUAACAAGCAGGGGCUCUCACUCUGGGCCAGGCACCAUGCCAGCUCUCUCCACAUUACUUCAUCUAACUCGCACACCAGUCCUAUUUAGUAUUUUUAAAAUAUAUCUAUAUAAAAUAAUACACAUAAUAUAUAUUACACAUAUAUACAUACUAAAUUUUCUAUACCUCAUAAUAUUACCAGUGAGAAACACUAAUACAAGCCCCAUUUAACAGAGGAGUAAACUGAGGCUCAGAGCAUUGAAUAAUGGAUGCAAGGUCAUAGACUCAGCAAGAGGCAGAGCUGGGAUGGCUUGCAGAACUCGUGCUUAUAACUACUGACAUCAGCUGCCUCCUGCCAGCUGCUGCUAAGAGCAGCACCAGGACCACAGAACUCAACAACCUGUGCUUUAAUUAAAAUCACAAUGAGAUGCCACCACACACCUGAUUUUUUCCAGUCACUUCUAAUCGCUUUCACGUGGGCUGUUCUAAUCGUCUAGACAGGAGGUUUUUAAAUUCCAGUACACACACAUUGUACUGGAAUGGCUCAAAUAAAAAAAAACAAAAACAAAAAACAAAAACUAAUCCCAAGUGCUGGAGAGGAUGUGGAGCAACUGGAACUCCCAUCCAUCCAUGGUAGGAAUGUGAAAAGGUAUACUGCCACUUUGGAAAACAGUUUGACCAUUUCUUAAAAAGUUAAAUGUCCACUCCUAGGUAUUUGCCCAAGAGAAAUGAAAACCCAUGCUCAGGCAAAAAUCUGCAUGCAAAUAUUUAUAGCAACUUUAUUUGUAAUUGCCAAAAAUGAAAGCAAACAAAUGGUGAAUGAACAAACUGUGGUGCCUCCAUACAACGGAGUACUACUCAGCCAUGAAAAGGAAUCAGCUACUGAUGACACAACAGCACUGAUAAACCUCAAAGGCAUCAUGCAUUAUGCCGAGUGAAAGAAGCCAGACUCAAAGGCUAUUAUGAUUCCAUUUAUAUGACACUCUGGUAAUGGCAGAAAAGAAAGACAACACAAAACAGAUAGUGGUUGUCAGGGGCGAGAGAUGAAAGAGGGAUUGACCACAGAGGGGCAAAGAGGAAUUGAGGGUGAUGGAACAUUUGUUCAUCUUGAUUGCAGUAGAGGUUAUAUGGUUGUACACAUUUGUCAAAACUUGCCAAACUGUACACUAAAAUGGGUGCAUUUUACUGUAGGUAAACGAUACUCAAUACAAAACAUUAAAGAAAAUAUAACAAUAGGCCGGGCGUGGUGGCUCGCGCCUGUAAUCCCAGCACUUUGGGAGG
rnacentral:lncRNA from 1 species